AGAUUGCAAGCAGUACUUUUGGAGAAAUGUGUCAUAGAAGCAAGAAUGAUAAAUCUGAAUACAAAUUUUAUUACAGAAGGAAUAACGGCAUGUAACAACCCAUUACAAAGAUUUAUUCAAAAAAAAUUAUUGAGUGCUCACACAUCACAUCUACAAUUGCUGCUUCUGUAUCUGAGGCUGAGUCUGAAGUGAGAAGAUCAAGCAUUGCAUAAGAAAUAUAGAUAUUGUAAAGGAGAACAAGAGUAUAUCAGAAACUGUGGGAACAAUGAAUUACCUGACAGAAAAAGGUUUCACCUGCACUGCCAAACUUCCACUGCAUGAUAAAAAGAUUUUAUACAGCUUUUAUGUAGCCCAUAAUGGCUGUUGGCAACUGUGACAGACAAAGACCAACCAUUACCUUAUUUCACAGAUCACACAAAACAGCAAGUGAACCAUGGAAAGGAAUGGAGUGAAGGACAAGCACCUCAAGUCACUUCAGUUAGAAGAUGCAGCCGAAAACACAGUAAAAUUUCAGCAAUGUCGGAAAUGUAGCCAAAAAUACAUAUUAUUCAAACAAAUUCUCUUUUCAUAUUUCUCAGUAGAAAGAAAAAUUCAACAAAGCAUCUUAUUUUCUGUACCUGCAUUGUACAAAAGUUGAAUUGCAAAUGAAAAUAAAUGUU